UACGAGGGGGGCGAGCGUUGUUCGGAAUUAUUGGGCGUAAAGGGUGCGUAGGCGGUUCCGCAAGUCCUGUGUGAAAUCUUCGGGCUCAACUCGAAGUCUGCACGGGAAACUGCGGGUCUUGAGUGUGGGAGAGGUGAGUGGAAUUCCCGGUGUAGCGGUGAAAUGCGUAGAUAUCGGAAGGAACACCAGUGGCGAAAGCGGCUUCCUGGUCCAGCACCGACAUUCAGGCACGAAAGCGUGGGGAGCAAACAGG
rnacentral:rRNA from 1 species